GCGCCCGUAGCUCAGCUGGAUAGAGCGAACGCCUCCGGAGCGUUAGGUCGGGAGUUCGAAUCUCUCCGGGCGCACCA
rnacentral:tRNA from 2 species